rnacentral:rRNA from 1 species
UGGGGAAUCUUGCACAAUGGGGGCAACCCUGAUGCAGCGACGCCGCGUGAGCGAUGAAGGUUUUCGAAUCGUAAAGCUCUGUCCUAUGGGAAGAUAAUGACGGUACCAUAGGAGGAAGCCCCGGCUAACUACGUGCCAGCAGCCGCGGUAAUACGUAGGGGGCGAGCGUUGUCCGGAAUUACUGGGCGUAAAGGGUUCGCAGGCGGCCUGGCAAGUCCGAUGUAAAAGGCGAAGGCUCAACCGUAGUUAGCCUCCGAAACUGGAAGACUUGAGUGCAGGAGAGGAAAGUGGAAUUCCCAGGGUAGCGGUGAAAUGCGUAGAGAUUAGGAGGAACACCGGUGGCGAAAGCGGCUUUUUGGCCGGCAACUGACACUGAGGCGCGAAAGCGUGGGGAGCAAACAGG